rnacentral:rRNA from 1 species
UACGUAGGUGGCAAGCGUUGUCCGGAUUUACUGGGCGUAAAGAGCGCGCAGGCGGUCGGAUAAGUCGAAUGUGAAAGCCCCCCGGCUCAACUGGGGAGGGUCAUUCGAUACUGUUCACUCGAAGGCAGGAGAGGGAAGUGGAAUUCCCGGUGUAGUGGUGAAAUGCGUAGAUAUCGGGAGGAACACCAGUGGCGAAGGCGACUUCCUGGCCUGUUCUUGACGCUGAGGCGCGAAAGCUAGGGGAGCAAACGGG